AUAAAAGUUGUGACGCGUAAGAAGCGGCUCACACGUCCCUUCUCGUUUUUUAUAAAUAGGUGCAAGAAUUGGGCGUCGUUUAAGGUAUGUCUCGUCAAAGUCUAUGGAGAGACGGCUGAGCUAAAAUACAAGUUCCUCUCAAGUCUCGAGAGUAAACUUAGUGACCCGUCCGAUCUGCUGUUCGGCUGCAUGCUCGUGCCUAAAUCCAAACUGGUGGUUGGGAAUUGCCUCUAAAAAUCCGUCCGCUUCCAUCAUCCUGGUCAGCAGAAGACCAUCCAGACAGCAAACUGAUAGGUCUGUAUGAGGCCCAUUUGUCCGCUGGCUUGCCGGGUUUGGGGAUCAUUGAAACAACUGCGCUUUUCCAGAGGCUAGGGAAACAUCCAAAUCGUAGCGCACUAUUACAAAUCAGCACAAGAUAGAGCAGGGCAGACUUGGGAAGCAGCUUAAUUUUCCCUUUGUUUUCCAUUCCUGAGGAUUUCCUCAACGCAAACGCAAACGCCGCUUGGUAGCAAUCAUUAGGCGGACACGAUUUGUUACAGGCACCUUUGCCUGCAAUCUGGGUCUGAGGGGCCUCAUCAGAUUGCUUCUAGCAAGAUCAGCAGCAUGUAUGAUGUUGUUGUGCAGAAUGUCAGCAGCAUCAUCAUCCGCGGCAGACCUUAGCUUAGGGUGUAUGUGUGAGUCCAGCCAAGACUGGAACAACGAUACGUUUGAGCCUGCCGCCAGCAGGCGCCUUUUCAUUGUCACCUCCGUUGGAGAAUCGAUUAGCUCGACCAACAUGCAAUCUCAUUCUGAUCGCGUAUGUUAAGCAGCAUCUCGAAUGACUUUAUACACAACAAAAUCGAUCGCUUAGGGGGAAUGAAGGGUGUUGUCUAGGUAGUUUGAAGGCUAACCAGUAGCAAAAACAUUGCAGCUGCUCCUCUUUAUGGACCUGAGCAAGGUUCCUCUUCGCUUGCAUGCCCUUAGGUUGCCCCACCAUGCAUUUUUAGAAUUCCGAUCGCCAGCAGCAAUGAAGUGCGACCCGAAUAGGCGAAACAAUUGUGCGAAUCGCUCGUCCGUCCAUUUCUGCUACGGUGGACAGCAUAUGGACCAUAUUCAGACACGCAUGCUAACUUGUAAACGUCAAGUGAACACCAGCGGCCUGGAUGUGUUCCGUGGAAAUGCAAGGCAGCGACAUACAUAUGGGGGAUUGAAGAUCUAAUAAGAAGUAAUGCUCCUCCUCGACUAGACCCAGAUGGAUGAUGUGUUGUAUGUGUGCAGUAUCCAUCUACACUGAAGGUUGCUGAGUUUUUAAAAUUAGACUCAGAAACCAUCAUGACGUCCACUUCGGGUCUGCACAUGUACUCUUCCAGCUCCUCAGUCAUCCCACGAAGCCCCGAGGCGUUCCAAAAUACUAAUUUGGAACAGACAUCUCUCCGACUGCCACCGACUUGAUGUGGAGAAUUCCCGGUGAGUAUCCUAUACAUUUAGGGCAAAAGUGAUGGCAUGAAUUUUGGGGAAUAAACAUUCUGUCAAUGUAGUCAUUUGUUCAACUAAUUGAUCAAUUUUCCUUUCUAGUUUCUGAGUAGCUUCAGCCGCCGCUGGACCAGCUCCUGGGUUAGCAGACUGAUGAGAACGUCCAUGUUUUCGACUCAGCUAAUUGAAAUGGACCGACUGAUUGCCCAGUCCGGGUCGUGGACCAGCUUCGCCGGCCAGGACACAGGCAGAGGCUGAGACGAGCUCUGAGGCUGUCCGUUUCGAACAGCAGCCGCAUAGCUGCCUUGGAGCACAGGAAGUGCUGGACCUCUGGUGCCUGAACUUUUAUAUAUUUAACCUCGACAAUAUAUUCUUAGUUUUGGGUAAUCCGCUUUCCAUUUUCAUACAGUAAUCCUUGAACUAUUUUUCAAUCUAUACUUGAAAUAUAAUUGGCCACAUGUAUAGAGUAUAGAGUACUACGUAUAGCUCCGAUUCUCCUACGCUGCACUCAUCCACAGCCAAUGAUUCGUUGUCCGAAGAAGUUGCUUGACCUGGGGCGACCCCCAGCAUCAGUCUUAGAUCUGGUCCUGUAUGUAGCCUUGGAGAUAAUUGAAGCCGCCUUCUUCGCGGUAGGCUUAGCGAUUGAGGAUCCCUGGAUGGCAGCAGAAGGCUACAGCAUUGCUGAAAACUUUUCAGCACAAUUUAGUACACGGCACAACACUUUAUAUUGCCCGGGAAUGUAUUUUUAAAACGACACACAGGGCACUAUUACACCGUGUGGGGUUUUUUUUUCAAAACGAAAAGGGACGUGUGAGACGCUUCUUAUGCG
rnacentral:lncRNA from 1 species